GGCCAGACUCCUACGGGAGGCAGCAGUGGGAAAUAUUGCACAAUGGGGGAAACCCUGAUGCAGCGACGCCGCGUGAGCGAAGAAGUAUUUCGGUAUGUAAAGCUCUCUCAGCAGGGAAGAAAAUGACGGUACCUGAUUAAGAAGCCCCGGCUAACUACGUGCCAGCAGCCGCGGUAAUACGUAGGGGGCAAGCGUUAUCCGGAUUUACUGGGUGUAAAGGGAGCGUAGACGGUUACGCAAGUCUGGAGUGAAAGGCGGGGGCCCAACCCCCGGACUGCUUUGGAAACUGUAUAACUGGAGUGCAGGAGAGGUAAGUGGAAUUCCUAGUGUAGCGGUGAAAUGCGUAGAUAUUAGGAGGAACACCAGUGGCGAAGGCGGCUUACUGGACUGUAACUGACGUUGAGGCUCGAAAGCGUGGGGAGCAAACAGGAUUAGAUACCCUGGUA
rnacentral:rRNA from 1 species